rnacentral:lncRNA from 10 species
GGGAAGGAGUACGUUCCUUAUGCUCUGGGCAAAUCUCCGAGAGUUCCCUCUGACGCUGGAAUUUUUUCCUCAGAUCCAAGAUCCAGUUAGUGGCCAAUUCGUGAUUUCCUGUCCGCCAAGUGCGUGGGCAUUGAUCUACAGGCGAGUUUCCCCACCUCCAGGGAAUGGCUACUUCGGGGUCGGUGGGGGCGGGUGUCCUCCGGUGGAUUGUAAGGUGUUUAGCAGCAUCUGUCCGCAAGGGAUCCCUUUCUGACGGGAAAGAAAGGCAGCGAGUCCUGUCCUGUU